AAGCUGCCCCACCUAAAUAAUGCAAUGAAACCGUAUCCACAGAAAUACACACACACAUAAAUAAUAAAUAUUAGAAUAAUGCAUGGGGGUAAAGACAUUUCGCCGAAGACUAAGAAAUGAUCCAAAACUCGAAGACCCUUAAGAGACUACUAAGUCGUCGAUAGCUUCAACCUCUCUUCUCUUAUCUCUCCGAUAUUUUAGUCUUAUUCUCUACCAUAUAUCUUCACUUCUCUAUUCUAUAUAAAUGCAUAAACCUGAGUCACGCUGAUAAGUAAAUUAAGAAAGGAAUAUUAAUUAAGAUGGCAUCUUCUAUAGUCUCCUGCAAUAUAGCUUUUUCGUGUAUCGA